rnacentral:rRNA from 1 species
GAUGAACGCUGGCGGCGUGCCUAAUACAUGCCAGUCGAGCGAACAGAUAAGGAGCUUGCUCCUCUGACGUUAGCGGCGGACGGGUGAGUAACACGUGGAUAACCUACCUAUAAGACUGGGAUAACUUCGGGAAACCGGAGCUAAUACCGGAUAAUAUAUUGAACCGCAUGGUUCAAUAGUGAAAGACGGUUUUGCUGUCACUUAUAGAUGGAUCCGCGCCGCAUUAGCUAGUUGGUAAGGUAACGGCUUACCAAGGCAACGAUGCGUAGCCGACCUGAGAGGGUGAUCGGCCACACUGGAACUGAGACACGGUCCAGACUCCUACGGGAGGCAGCAGUAGGGAAUCUUCCGCAAUGGGCGAAAGCCUGGCGGAGCAACGCCGCGUGAGUGAUGAAGGUCUUCGGAUCGUAAAACUCUGUUAUUAGGGAAGAACAAAUGUGUAAGUAACUAUGCACGUCUUGACGGUACCUAAUCAGAAAGCCACGGCUAACUACGUG